UUCAUACUCCCUCCGUUCCGAAUUACUUGUCUUAGAUUUUUCUAGAUAUGGAAGUAUCUAGCACUAAAAUGAGUCUAGAUACAGUUGUAUCUAGACAAAUCCAAGACAAGUAAUUCGAAACGGAGGGAGUAUAAG
rfam:Triticum urartu cultivar G1812 contig1192500, whole genome shotgun sequence.